rnacentral:rRNA from 1 species
GCUGGCGGCAUGCUUAACACAUGCAAGUCGAACGGUAACAGCGGGAGCUUGCUCCCGGCUGACGAGUGGCGGACGGGUGAGUAAUGCAUAGGAAUCUGCCCAGUAGUGGGGGACAACCUGGGGAAACUCAGGCUAAUACCGCAUACGCCCUACGGGGGAAAGGCUUCGGCCGCUAUUGGAUGAGCCUAUGUCUGAUUAGCUUGUUGGUAGGGUAACGGCCUACCAAGGCGACGAUCAGUAGCUGGUCUGAGAGGACGAUCAGCCACACUGGGACUGAGACACGGCCCAGACUCCUACGGGAGGCAGCAGUGGGGAAUAUUGCACAAUGGGCGAAAGCCUGAUGCAGCAAUGCCGCGUGUGUGAAGAAGGCCUGCGGGUUGUAAAGCACUUUCAGUGGGGAGGAUUAUGACGUUACCCACAGAAGAAGCACCGGCUAACUCUGUGCCAGCAGCCGCGGUAAUACAGAGGGUGCGAGCGUUAAUCGGAAUUACUGGGCGUAAAGCGCGCGUAGGCGGCUUGGUCAGUCGGAUGUGAAAGCCCCGGGCUUAACCUGGGAAUUGCAUUCGAUACUGUCAGGCUAGAGUGUAGUA